CAACGAAUUGGAGUAAAAACAUAAUUUUAUAAUUAGAUUUAGAAAUUAAUGCAAAACUGCCUUAUGUGGAGUUUACAUGUUUGGAAACAAUUUGUUAUUUGAGUGUUGAUUACUAUAUCUAAAAAAUAAAUAGCAACUGAAUUUAGGCUAAUAGUUUGGGCUCUGUUUAAAUUCAUUUAAAGACAGACACACAAUUAGUAGUGUUCAGUAAACUGUUUAAUUAAAAAAAAAAAAAAAAAGCAAUUUUGUUUAGUUUUCUACCCCAGCUGUACUGAACCGUACCGAACUGUGACUUCAAAACCGAGGUACGUACCGAACAGUCAUUUUUCAGGAAUAUCUAAAUUACCAAACUAAAUCCUUAGCCACUAUUUCACCACCUCCUCUAGGUUUUUGUACCAGUGACACUUUGUGGAGGACAGUCCAACACAUUUGAUUCCUCACAAAAAGUUGCUAAUUAGAGCAGCAGAUAUAGUCAGCACACGUCACUGUAUUUAAUAAAAGAGUAAAGAGUACUGAAUGACGUGAAAAGGGUGACUAUAAUUCAUUCUGAAUUUGUUGGGAUAUACUUAGUCACACACCAAAAAAAUAAAUCAUGAAUAAGUAGCCACACCAUGCACACACACACGUAGACAUCUCAUCAACCCAAACAAGAGCAAAGAAUCAAUACUGAGUCUCAUUCACCUCCUAUUCCUCACAGCGUGUGUCCAUCAUGCCUUACUGAGAAGUGGCUCUCAUACUGUGUAAACCACAGACCACAAAUAUAACGGCACCCUGUGAGUGAGUGAGUGAAAAAUACCAUCCUCAUCAUUUACCUGCUGCUUCUCCUUAUUGGCUUUCAGUUGGCUGUUGUUUUACAGAUUCAGGGACACCAGUCCUGGGAUCACUGGAGGAUUCACUCUCUAUAAAAAGCUAAAGGUUCACAGCAAGAAGACAUACUGAACACGUGCCAUAUGGACCACUUUUCUGAAUGGACUUUGACUUGACUCCUAGUGGCGUGGAUCUUAAUUUUGCAGAGUCAGUGUCACUACUGAUAGCAUGAGGUGAUACCUGGACCCUACAGAGGUUGCACGGGCAGUCCAACUCCUCCAGGAUGGCACAUCAAUACGUGUCUCCCAGCACAGUCUCAAGAGCAUGGAGGAGAUUCCAGGAGACAGGCAGUUACUCUAGGAGAGCUGGACAGGCCCGAGGAAGGUCCUUAACCCAUCAGCAGGACCGGUAUCUGCUCUUUUGUGGAAGGAGGAACAGGAUGAGCACUGCCAGAGCCCUACAAAAUGACCUCCAGCAGGCCACUGGUGUGAAUGUCUCUGACCAAACAAUCAGAAACAGACUUCAUGAGGGUGGCCUGAGGGCUCGACGUCCUCUAGUGGGCCCUGUGCUCACUGCCCAGCACCGUGGAGCUCGAUUGGCAUUUGCCAUUGAACACCAGAAUGGGCAGGUCCGCCACUGGCGCCCUGUGCUUUUCACAGAUGAGAGCAGGUUCAUCCUGAGCACGUGACAGACGUGAAAGGGUCUGGAGAAGCUGUGGAGAACGUUAUGCUUGUUCAGCAUGACCGGUUUGGUGGUGGGUCAGUGAUGGUCUGGGGAGGCAUAUCCAUGGAGGGACACACAAUCCUCUACAGGCUAGACAAUGGCACCCUGACUGCCAUUAGGUAUCGGGAUGAAAUCCUUGGACCCAUUGUCAGACCCUACGCUGGUGCAGUGGGUCCUGGGUUCCUCCUGGUGCACAACAGUGCCCGGCCUUGUGGCGAGAGUAUGCAGGCAGUUCCUGGAGGAUGAAGGAAUUGAUACCAUUGAAUAGCCCCCACGCUCGCCUGACCUAAAUCCAAUAGAACACCUCUGGAACAUUAUUUUUCGGUCCAUCCAACGCCGCCAGGUUGCACCUCAGACAGUCCAGGAGCUCAGUGAUGCCCUGGUCCAGAUCUGGGAGGAAAUACCCCAGGACACCAUCUGUUGUCUCAUUAGAAGCGUGCCUCAACGUUGUCAGGCAUGCAUACAAGCACAUGGGGGCCAUACAAACUACUGAGUACCAUUUUGAGUUGCUGCAAUGAAAUUUCAGCAAAAUGGACUAGCCUGCUGCAUCAUUUUUUCACUUUGAUUUUUGGGGGGUGUUUGAAUUCAGUCCUCUGGUUGAUCAUUUUCAUUUCCAUCAAACGAUGUGGCAUCCUUUCAUUCCUAACACAUCACCCAGUCCAUAUCAGUAUAGAUAUCCAGCAUGAUAUUUUUCACCAUUGAGAUCUGAUUUUUGAUUCUUAAUUUUUUUUAGCAGUGUAUUUUAGUUGACAAGGAAAAAAACAAAGUAACUGGCAAUGUUGUGUCUAAACUGUACUUAAUAUUUACUCAACUUUUCUUUUUUGUCUGAGCGAUAAGCAAGGGAAAACAGCAGAAAACUGCACGCACACAGGUGAAAGCCUCUGAACAGGUUGGAGAAUUUAAUCAUAAAUAAUUCUUUGAUACAUAAACCUUUUAGCCUCUUUUGUCUCAGUACUAUAAGAAUCAGUGCAUUGUCACUCUCAAAUCUUCAUGGUGAAUCAGAGACUAUUCAAAUUCAGAGCUCAAUUCCAACUAAAGUGUCUUUCGGCUCUGACGUUCUGCAGUCUUCUCCUGUUAUGAGUCAGAUGCACUAGAUUAUUGGACUUUACAAUGUUUUGCCACUGUGGAAUUCCAAAUCCGUUUGAGAUGGCAAUAAACAGAAGUAACGAUUAAAGUUGUUUGUUUUCUCAGAGUAGAGCAAUGCAGGAUGAGUCCUUCAUAUCCGCAUUCAAAUCAGCUUUAGAGAGACUUGUAUAAAAUUACAUCCUGAGGAAGCUGUUGAUUAAACUUGCAUCUUGAUGAAGAUGCAUGCUAGUUAUCUUCACUCUCUCACGCUCAAAAGAACUGAGGACAGUUGAAAUCUUUAUCAGCCCCGCACUCUUCUGUCAUCAAGCCAUCAUUUAUUCAGGCUGAUGGCUUCAAAAUGGCUCACCACAAAUGGACACUAUUUCUAUCUAUAGAAGAAUCCCUGAAUCUAUUCAUCCAUCUGCGGGGUUCAUAUACAACCAUUUCUCUCACACAGUCAGUCGACUACUGGAAGUAGGAGUGCCAGUUUGAAAUAAAAUGACGGAAUCAAUUAUCAGUUUAUUAAUUCAAAAAUAAAAAUGUAAAUAAACAAUGGCUUUUUUAAAAUAAUAAAUCUUGAAUUCUAUUUUUUAUUUAUUUACUUAUUCAAUAAAAAAAUAAAGUGUUAGUUAAUAUAACAAUAAAAUAAUGCAUCAAUUUUACAAUUUUUUAAAAGCAUUUAAAUAAAUAAACAGACAAACCUUGGCCAAAUUGCUUUUCUUUAUCCUUUUGCCAAUCCCUUUUCUUUCUCCAUUUAUCAGUAAAGUAAAAUUAUUUAAUUGCAUGUUUUUAAUAUUUAAAGUCCCUAUGUAGUCAAUAAUUGUAUCCCUUAAAACUCAUUUUUGAUCACCAAAAUUACAUAUAUAAACGUUUUUGCUGUGAAAAAAAAAAAAAUGCCUUAAAAUAGCUUGAAUGUAACUCUACACCCUAAGCUUGCUUCAUUUAGUAUACACGAAUCUAUGAAUAUGCUAAUUAGCCCCGCCUCCACUCACUCGCACCGCACGAGCUCAGCGAUCCAGUCUUACUGAGGUAAAUGCUGCACAAUGGUAUCGCUUUUCACAACAUUGGACACAUAACGGUAAAUAAUAUGAUUAGCUUGACUAAGUUAUCAAACAGCUGUUAAAAAUGUGUAGCUAAUGUUACACAAACCAUGUUCGCCAUCUUAGAGUCAGCUGCCUUAUAAAAAUUAGUAACGUUAUCCUUAGAAAUGCUUUGAACGACUCAGAACUUUAGUGGAGAAAGUUUAUCAUAACAUGGUAAUAUACAUAAUACUAUAUUGCUAAAUCUACCCGAUCUGAUUUUCAUAUCAACAGAAAAAUACCGGGAUAUAUUCUCUUGAGACUCCCCUGCUUCAGAGCGGCCAUGGUUAAUGAUAUUGCUAAAGCCCGCGUUUUUGAAACUGACUUUAGAUCAUUGCCGUUUUAAAGAGAAAGUACUCAGCAAUGGUGUUGACAUGAAUUUGCACAUGGUUUGUUUUAAACACAUAUUAAAACACCACAUAGACAUUUAAACAACAUUAAAAACUUGAUUUUCACCACAGGGGUUUUUAAAUGUAUUAAUAAAACAGAACUAAGGUUCUAAAGACAAUCAGAAAUAUGUUUAAAAAGCAAACAUGACAUAAAAGGAAUUAAUCUAGUGAUUCAUGCCUUGACAUGUAUGUACUGUGAGUCUAGUAUGAAUCACAAAGCCCUCCGGAGCCUGCAGCUGUCUGUUUUCGACAUCUAAGCCUGAUGUGAUGUGAAUCUAGUCUUUCAUGUGCGAGUGACUUUACCAAAAAUAUUAUGAACAUGAUGUAUUUUGCUUAUAUUUGAUGUAAUGAUAUAUAUACAUAAUGUAUGUGUGUGCACAUUCCAUGUCUUUAUCUCUGACAUGAUUAUAUCUGUGCAUAUGGAUUUACUUUUUUAGCCUGGGGGGCGCAAAAUCGACAUGCCUUCACAAUUUACCCCAAGAUUUCCUUUUUUUUAGGCUGUGUUAUUUCUCUAAUAAGGUCUAGAUUUAGCUAUAUAUUUAUGUUUUGCAAUAUAUGAAUUUAAUAUAUAAAUACCAUAACUGUACAUUUCUUUAAAGAUUAUUAAAUUGCUGUGGUAUUAUGAAGCAGUCAGCAGAGUAGGAGAUCUGAAUGUGCAUCAUAAGUCCAAAGAGGCGUUGAUAAUCCGGUGUGAACUCCAUAGCAAAUGCUCCGAAAAUGUUGCGUGUGUGUGAUGAGAAACACUUCUUGACGUUUCACUUUAUCAGCACUCUUGACAGUGGCCAUCUGUGCCUCUUAUUCACUACAGAGCUCUCUUGGGACAAUGAGCAGGGGAACAAAUGUUUAAAGUGUGCGUGUAUGAGUUCACACUGUGCUUGCCAUAUUAAUGUGUGUCGCAGCAUUUCGAUCUCUUCAGGAGGUUUAUCCAAACAACCGAAUGCCCCUUUGCUCACCUUUUCCAUUCUGUUAUAAGAUAACACUUGAGAGGGAUGACUUCAUGUAUACAUGACUAGAGUAAUGGCCCCAUGUGUGUUUGGGGUACUUCUGGAGGACACACGAUCUGAGGAGUCCUUUUUGCGCUUCCACUGUCUGGUCAGUCUGACCAUCACUGUCUGGUGGACAGCCUGUGAAGUUUGGGAGCUUAUUUAGUGUUGAAAUCCAACAUUUUCAUUAUAUUAAGAAAUUGGUACAAUUGUUUAGUUGUGUGCAGAGAUGAACCAUUUUAUAACAGUAUUCAACUAGUCAGAACAUAGUUGGAAGUGUGUUUCCACCUCAGAGUGAAAAAAUAAAAAGCUUUAUAAAACUUUAUUUGUCAAUUUUGACUUCAUUUCUUGCAAGUUGGACUUCAUAUCUCACUUUUUUUUUUUAUCUUAGUUGCAAAUUUUUUUUCUCUUAACUGUGACUAUAUCUCAUAAUUGUAACUUUAUUUCUCUUAAUUGCAACUUUUUCACAGUUACAACUUUAUUACUAUUAAUUGUAACUUUAUUUAUUUUAAUUACAACUUUAUUUCUCCUAAUUGUGACUUUUAUUUCUAUUAAUUGACUUUAUAAUGAUUGUGACUUUAUGUCUCACAAUUUUGAUGUUAUUUCAGUUGAUUGCGGGUUGAAGGUCCAAAUUGUAGUUUCAGUGCAGCUUCAAAGGGCUCCACACUAUCCCAGACGAAUAAUAAGGGUCUUAUCUAGUGAAACGAUCAUUCAUUUAAAAAAAAAAAAAAAAAAAAAAAAAUUUAUAUACUUUUUAAACACAAAUGCUCGUCUUGCACUAGCUCUGCAAUGCAUCACACAUUACGUUAGGAAGGUCACGCGUGACAUAGGCGAAAAGUAACGAUCCAGUGUCUACAAAGUGAACGUGCAAAGACUAAGUCAAAUGCCCUUUAUGAAAAAAGGUAAAACAAUGAUGUCGGACGAUUUUGAAGUUGGAGGAGAAAAUGAUAUGGAGUUUUUCGCCCUACCGUGGUACUUCCGCCUACGUCACGCGUGACCUUUCCAACGUGAUUGCGUCAUGUGUGGCACAUCGCAGAGCAGUGCAAGAUGAGCAUUUGUGGUUAAAAAGCAUAUACAUUUUUUUUUUUUUUUUUUAAAUGAAUGAUCGUUUUGCUAGAUAAGGCCCUUAUUCCUCGUCUAGGAUCGUGUAGAGCCCUUUGAAGCUGCACUGAAACUGUAAUUUGGACCUUCAACCCGUUGAACCCCAGUGAAGUCCACUAUAUGGAGAAAAAUCCUGGAAUGUUUUCCUCAAAAACCUUAAUUUCUUUGCGACUGAAGAAAGAAAGACAUGAACAUCUUGGAUGACAUGGGGGUGAGUAAAUUAUCAGGAAAUUUUAAUUCUGAAGUGAACUAAUCCAUUAAUUGCAACUUUAUUUCUAGCCAUAAUGUGGAAUUAAAUCUGAGAGCUAUGCUGAGGGUAUGAUUAGAUUUUGCUCUGUUCCUCUCACACAACUGUACAGCUUCAGAAGACUUAAUGUGUAAUGCACCAGUCGAAUAAACUAUUUUUAGAUUCUUCUUUUCUGUUCUACAGAAGAAAUAAAAUCAUGCGG